GCAAAUUCCCUCAUUGGCUAUGUCUAAAAACAUUCUGCAUCUUGAACCCAUCCCUGCCAGGAGGACCAGGACCUUUCUCAGAGUGAGAGAAGUUUUGAGCUCCUUUUGCUGCUUCCACUCACAUCUUCCUCAGCAGCUUGUUCUCAAUUGAAGGUCCAGCCUCAAAUGCAGGGGAGUUUAUGUUCCCCAUUCCCUUCUCCUAGAAACCUCCUUCGACCAUGGCAGCAGCUUCAGAGGGCAGGACUUGACUGCUGGCCAGUAAUCUCAAGAGUCAGAUCUCGUCUUCAUCCUCACAGCCUGAGACACUCUGUCCCUUCAAGCUUGAACAAGAACAAAGCUGUCGUUUCAAGGAAGGGCUCUGUG